GUGGGGAAUCUUAGACAAUGGGCGCAAGCCUGAUCUAGCCAUGCCGCGUGAGCGAUGAAGGCCUUAGGGUUGUGAAGCUCUUUCGUGGGGGAAGAUAAUGACUGAACCCCAAGAAGAAGCCCCGGCUAACUUCGUGCCAGCAGCCGCGGUAAUACGAAGGGGGCUAGCGUUGCUCGGAUUUACUGGGCGUAAAGGGCGCGUAGGCGGACAUUUAAGUCAGGGGUGAAAUCCCGGGGCUCAACCUCGGAACUGCCUUUGAUACUGGGUGUCUUGAGUAUGAGAGCAGUGUGUGGAACUCCGAGUGUAGAGGUGAAAUUCGUAGAUAUUCGGAAGAACACCAGUGGCGAAGGCGACACACUGGCUCAUUACUGACGCUGAGGCGCGAAAGCGUGGGGAGCAAACAGGAUUAGAAACCCUGGUAGUCC
rnacentral:rRNA from 1 species